AAUAUAGAAUUUACCUAUUUUUGCUUUUUAAAAUCUCUUUCCAAAUUUCUAAUUUUUUUUUUUAGAAAAAUCAUUUUGUUUGUUCAGUAAUAGUUUUUAUUUUGAUUUUAAUUCAAAGGUAAACCUAGCCCCCCGGUGCCUACAAAGUUCCCGAAGAACAAGGAAAAGCAUGGCUUGUUCUGGAGCGGUAUGUUCAGUAAAAGAAGUUAGGAUCUGGAGAGAUCUUACAUAUCAAAGGAUCUAGAAGAUCUCAUGAAAGGAGGCUUUGAGUUGAAGAGUCUGGGAGAGACCUGUUGACCCUGUGCAUACACAAUGACUGCUCCAGGGCUUGCUUCAGCUACAAAUGAGCAGAUGUGGAGAAAAGCCACGAGUCCUUUGAAAACCAAGGAGGAGCCACAGGCCACUUUGGGGUGGACGGGCUGUAUCGCAUUGUGAGAACUACAAGAAGCAGAGAGCAAUGCAGCUUAUAGCAGGAGGGGUGAAAGAAAGAAAAAGAAAAGGAAGGAAAGAAGGAAGCAAGAAAAACAUUUAGAGAAUGCCUAGCCUGUCUCUAGAAAUCCUAAGGAGGCUGAAUUAAUCCCUUCCAAAGUCGCACAGGUAAUUUGGCAUAGCUGAAUUGUGAUUCAGUUGAUUUGUAAUUUCUAACAGAGUAAUUUUCCACUAUCAUUUCUUUUAUCGUUAUUAAUUAUUUUUGUGGGUUGCGUACAAUUUGCUUGAUGCAAUACUAAGUGUUGGGAAUACAAAGAUGAGUAAAUUAUCAUAUUUUAUUAUCAAAUCUCUUGCCUGAUUAACUGAGAGUUUUCCAUGCUUCAAGGUGACAAGCAACUCAUCAGUGCAAAUGUCUAAUAUGUGUGUUAAUAUGCUAGUCAUUCCUUCUCAGUGAUAUAACAUAUUAAUGGUUACAAUAGAAUGUCAGCAAAGAUGGCCCC
rnacentral:lncRNA from 1 species